rnacentral:rRNA from 1 species
GACGAACGCUGGCGGCGUGCCUAAUACAUGCAAGUCGAGCGAAGUUUUUCUGGUGCUUGCACUAGGAAAACUUAGCGGCGAACGGGUGAGUAACACGUAAAGAACCUGCCUCAUAGACUGGGACAACUAUUGGAAACGAUAGCUAAUACCGGAUAACAGUAUUUCUCGCAUGAGAGAUAUUUAAAAGUUGGUUAUGCUAACACUAUGAGAUGGCUUUGCGGUGCAUUAGCUAGUUGGUGGGGUAAAGGCCUACCAAGGCGACGAUGCAUAGCCGACCUGAGAGGGUGAUCGGCCACACUGGGACUGAGACACGGCCCAGACUCCUACGGGAGGCAGCAGUAGGGAAUCUUCCGCAAUGGGCGAAAGCCUGACGGAGCAACGCCGCGUGAGUGAAGAAGGAUUUCGGUUCGUAAAGCUCUGUUGUUAGGGAAGAAUGGAUAUGUAGUAACUAUACAUAUAAGA